AGCAGCCGCGGUAAUUCCAGCUCCAAUAGCGUAUAUUAAAGUUGUUGCAGUUAAAAAGCUCGUAGUUGAAUUUCGGGAUCAAUAUGUUGGUCGUGCCUUGGUACGUACUGGCAUUAUCGAUUCCUACCUUCUGAAGAAUCUCGAUGUCAUUAAUUUGGUGUCUUGGGGAAUCAGGACUGUUACUUUGAAAAAUUAGAGUGUUUAAAGCAGGCUCGCGCUUGAAUACAUUAGCAUGGAAUAAUGAAAUAGGACGUUUGAUUCUAUUUUGUUGGUUUCUAGGAUCGACGUAAUGAUUAAUAGGGAUAGUUGGGGGCAUUAGUAUUCAAUUGUCAGAGGUGAAAUUCUUGGAUUUAUUGAAGACUAACUACUGCGAAAGCAUUUGCCAAGGAUGUUUUCAUUAAUCAAGAACGAAAGUUAGGGGAUCGAAGACGAUCAGAUACCGUCGUAGUCUUAACCAUAAACUAUGCCGACU
rnacentral:rRNA from 1 species